rnacentral:misc_RNA from 1 species
AACGCAAAUUGCACUCCCUGGUAUUCCGGGGAGUAUGCCUGUUUGAGGGUCGUUAGAAUAAAAAUCGAGGCGUCGCUCUUUUUUUUUAAGGGUGAUCGCGUCGGAAUUGAGCCGUCUUUCAAAUGUUAAUUCAUGUCAAAGUGGCUUAAAAUUUCAUCCAUCCGGUACGAUUAAAGCGUAUUUAAGAUCAAUUUUGAUUAAGAACGCGCGAUGACGUACCAUCUCAUGUAGUACGUUUGACCUGGCGUCGUCAGGAUCAUUCGUAUACGAUACUCAAACUUUUGACCUCAAAUCAGGUAAGAAUACCCGCUGAACUUAA